rnacentral:rRNA from 1 species
UUGGAAUCGCUAGUAAUCGCGGAUCAGCAUGCCGCGGUGAAUACGUUCCCGGGCCUUGUACACACCGCCCGUCACACCAUGAGAGUCGGGAACACCCGAAGUCCGUACGCCUAACCGCGAAGGGGGGNGCGGCCGAAGGUGGGUUCGAUAAUUGGGGUGAAGUCGUAACAAGGUAUC